rnacentral:pre_miRNA from 1 species
CUGUUCUACGUGCGAGUUCCACUAGGCAAGUUUUGAGAUCGUUUUUAAAAAACAAAAACUUGACACGUUGAGCUCGUUCGUGGGAUGG